rnacentral:rRNA from 1 species
CAAUAGCGUAUACUAAAGUUGCUGCAGUUAAAAAGCUCGUAGUUGGACUUCAGGCUUUCGCGCAGGGUCUGCCGAAUGGCGUGUACUGUGCGUCGGGAGCCUUUUGUCGCAGGGCCAUUUCCGCCCUUAACCGGACGGGAAUGGAGCUGUGGCCGUUUACUUUGAGAAAAUUAGAGUGUUCAAAGCAGGCUUAUGCAGAUGAAUACUACAGCAUUGAAUAAUGGAAUAGGACCUCGGUUUUAUUUUAUUGGUUUCUGAGACCGAAGUAAUGAUUAAUAGGGAUAGUUGGGGGCAUUAGUAUUUACUUGCUAGAGGUGAAAUUCUCAGAUUUAAUAAAGACUAACUUCUGCGAAAGCAUUUGCCAAGGAUGUUUUCAUUAA